AGCUCCGGUGGCCUAAUCUUUAGAACGUCCGCCUCGGAUGCGGAAUGUCGUGGGUUCAAUCUCCAGUCGAGCCA